UCCUGCUGCCGCCGCAUCCCGCGCCGCCGCGCCCCAUCCUCUCGUGAUCCCCCUCACUCAUUGGGCCUCGUCCUCAAGCUCCUCCUCCCCCAUACGCCGCUGCACUCGCGGGUAAACGCUAGCCCUGCCCACACAAUCCACAGCCGUGGCCCCUUCGGUGCCUACUCUGUUAUGGACCCAAGCACUGAAGCUACUCCAACGCCAUCAGGCAAGCAAAGAAGGAAACUACGACGCGUCGGGCAAAGACCAGCUCGGCUCAGUGGGCCCGAAUGGACUACUUAACAUCCAAUCAGAGCUGGGCAUGUCAGCGGCAUGACAAGAUCCCUGGACCUGCGCUCGGUGGCUCGCUGGCCUUAUAUGCUGCUAUUGCUGUUGUUUUAGCUGUCGUUUGACCAGUUUGUGAACUGAAUCCCCUUUCCCCUCCCGUGCUUCCUUUCUCCACCCCAAACUGCUUCUCUAUUCCUCUCAAUUCCUCUGUAAAGGUGAACCAUAUGUGGAUGGUUGAGUGGAUCUAGUGGGAACGUAACAUACUCUCUUUCCCCGAUGCCCUCCAUGCGGCAGCAGCGGCGGUCACUAUUCUCUUCUCCCUCCCUCAUUAGCAAUGUAGCGGGCGCAUCGUCGACGGCGGAAGUGGAGCAGCCCUGCACCAUCACGCCGCCGAUGGCGGCAGAUCCCCUUCCGUGAGAAAUCAUGGAAGCUGUUCGACGGGGCAUUGAAUCUCCUUCGGUUCUCAAGCACCCGUCAGCGGCUUCGUCAUGGCCGAAGGAGAGACGGUAGACUCCAGUGAGAAGCCCCUCAACGAGCUCGGCUACAAGCAAGAUCUCUGGAGGGAUGGUAUUGCUAUACGGCUUGUUCGUUACAUAUGGACGAGGUAGAUUUUGAACCUGUCCAAUAGUAGAGCGCUACAAUUUUAGAAGCUGAUUAACACCCCUCACUGGUGAAGUCUACAAUACGGUAAUCUGAGUGUUGAAAACAAGCUCAUCUAUGUCAGCGUGUUAUUUUUUCACACUAAUAAAUGAAUGGCGCCGUGUUUAUAUUAUUUCUAUACAGGUAUCUUGGAGGUGCAGCUUCAGUUUUGCUGCAUUUAGAUUUAUCCCAUAUAAUCCAUUAAUAUACAAUAUACUUGUUAUAUAUUUACUCUCAUUCUUUGUUUCCUAAGAACCUGAUACAAAAGUCAUAUAUUUUCCAAGCCGAUCGAGCUACUAACACAUGGUGGAGCAAAUAAUAAAAAUUAUUAAAUGUGCAAAUGUGAAGCUCAUAUUGGAGAUUAGCACGAUGACCAUUCUCCCAGUCCUUUUUACUAGCUUGUGGAUUGGUUUAUCCAUGUUUGUUAGGCUGGAAAUUCGAGUAACUCGGGUUUCUGCAGUUUGGCCUGGCUUGGGCCAUGCUUCUGAGAACCUAGAGCUUCCAAAUGUGAUGAAUGAAAGGGGAAUUUUUUUUCUUGGGCCACCAUCAGUUUGAUUUCUGCAUUAGGCCAUAAGACUGGUUCUUCUCUUAUUGAGCAAGCAGCAGUAGCUCCAACUCUUCCAUCGAGUAGAUCACAUAUAUGCAUUCUCCUAUUUUUGUAUAGUUCUGCUCUGGGUUUUUUCCUUGCUUAAAUAUAAAUUCUGAAGCAACUUAUAGCUCAAGUUCGUACUAUCUUUCUGAAUUCAUUUAUAAGUUUUUCAUCAUCUUCUAUAUUUACAGAUUCGCUGAAUAGAUGACCAAGGCAAUCGAUUCGAGGAGAGACCUGCGGAUUUGGACUUGUGGGAGCGUGUCUCUGAUGGCUUGACUGAGGAAGGAUUUGGUUGAAUGGAAGGAUCACAACCUGCAGCUCCACUGGUUGAAAGAAAAUGAUGACGCGGAAUUUUACUGCUCAAGAAUUAAUUAAGUUUUACAAAAUUUUGAGGGCACAUGUUCUUCUGGUGGAAUGAUCCUGCAGGGGCUACACCAUAGCGAAUUUUAUGAAGAUAUACUUGAAUUUGAACACUUCCAGAUUUCUCUGAGCUCGAUUGUUUCCAAAAAAAAGUGCUUUUGUUCUUCUCUUGAGGUGGCAAUUAAGAUUGAUAUAGCUCAUAAGCACAUGAGGAUGCUCGAUGUGAACUGAUCACUUUCUUUGUGUGUUACAUGAAAGUAAAUGUAUGUGUGGCUUGAUUAUUUUUUUAUGAUGCUAAUAUGGUGGAAUGAUUAUGUUGAAUUUACGAAAACAGUCAGUUGUUUGUAUGCUCAGUAAUAAAAAAGAGCUGAACUAAUCUGGGUUAUUUUUAUGUUCAUUUUGCAGGCUAACAUUUUUUAAGUAUUUGACUCUGAAAUUGAUUUAGGCUGGUGGCACAUGUUUGGUUUUAGUUAAUUUACAGAGGAGUUAAAAAGAAGAAGGCGCAGGAAUAAGAGAAAAAGGAGGUGCAUUCUCUCAAUCUGUACAUAGUGCAACCCAAAAUAAAGUAGUUACUUGGUUCAGUUUUCACUGCAGAUAUAUUUGCUCUAUUUGCAUCGUCUCUAGACCAGUGCAUUCUCUCAAUGUGCGAAACACUCGUUCUUUCCGGUUCACUGAACACUAUAUUGAUGCAGGGAAAGCUAUUUUUUAGCAUAGGCUAGAGUUACAACAUGACACAUCGUUGCCCAGAAUUUCCAUCUUGGUACUGUAUGGAUAUAUUUUGUUUGAUAUACCAUCCAUGUACUAAUUGCACUCAAACUGUAUAAGGUACACUCUAUAUCCUUUACUGCUAUUUGAUUCCUUUGGUCAUGUGUGACAAUCGGGUGAUACCACUUUGUCUUUAUAAACAUGUGUGACAAUGGCAACUUAUGCAUGCAGUUUUUUGUGUUUAUUACACAAGAGUCCAUCGAAGUGCAAUGAAGGUAAUCGAAAAUGGACUGAAUAUUAUGCACAAUUGCCUUCAUAGCCACACAGGAAUAUGUUGUUUCAAAGUUCCAGGUCUUCGGUUGGGACGGCGUGGGCCAUGUUCAAGAUCUGGUAGGCCAUCAACCCUAAGAGCAUCCUGAAGGCCACAUCACUCGCCAAGACAACCAUCAAGGUCUGCCAACCUCCGAUUGAAGAGCAACCAGAGCAACUAGAGAUUCAAGCAGCCUUCAUCACAACCACUUGCAAACAAAAGCCUUCAUUCUUAGGCCCUGGCUGGUGUGCGACAUUGUAGAUAUAUGUGCUGGGAACAAAGAGCAACCUACCAUGUAUUUUUCCUCUGCUGAUGUGAACGUGUGUGUGUUCAGAGUGUUUCGUUGUUUGGUCUGAAUAUGAGCUGAUGUACUUGAUGAAUGGAGGGCUACUGCUGGUUUUUUACUGC